rnacentral:rRNA from 1 species
GCAUAUCAAUAAGCGGAGGAAAAGAAACUAACAAGGAUUCCCCUAGUAACUGCGAGUGAAGCGGGAAAAGCUCAAAUUUAAAAUCUGUCAGUCUUUGGCUGUCCGAGUUGUAAUCUAGAGAAGUGCUAUCUGCGCUGGACCGUGUACAAGUCUCCUGGAAUGGAGCGUCAUAGAGGGUGAGAAUCCCGUCUUUGACACGGAUUGCCAGGGCUUUGUGAUACGCUCUCAAAGAGUCGAGUUGUUUGGGAAUGCAGCUCAAAAUGGGUGGUAAAUUCCAUCUAAAGCUAAAUAUUGGCGAGAGACCGAUAGCGAACAAGUACCGUGAGGGAAAGAUGAAAAGAACUUUGGAAAGAGAGUUAAACAGUACGUGAAAUUGCUGAAAGGGAAACGCUUGAAGUCAGUCGCGUUGUUCAGGGAUCAACCUUGCUUUUGCUUGGUGUACUUCCUGGUUGACGGGUCAGCAUCAAUUUUGACUAUUGGAAAAAGUUCAAAGGAAUGUGGCAUCUUCGGAUGUGUUAUAGCCUUUGGUCGCAUACAAUGGUUGGGAUUGAGGAACUCAGCACGCCGCAAGGCCGGGUUUUAACCACGUACGUGCUUAGGAUGCUGGCAUAAUGGCUUUAAUCGACCCGUCUUGAAACACGGACCAAGGAGUCUAACAUGCCUGCGAGUGUUUGGGUGGAAAACCCGAGCGCGCAAUGAAAGUGAAAGUUGAGAUCCCUGUCGUGGGGAGCAUCGACGCCCGGACCAGACCUUUUGUGACGGUUCCGCGGUAGAGCAUGUAUGUUGGGACCCGAAAGAUGGUGAACUAUGCCUGAAUAGGGUGAAGCCAGAGGAAACUCUGGUGGAGGCUCGUAGCGAUUCUGACGUGCAAAUCGAUCGUCAAAUUUGGGUAUAGGGGCGAAAGACUAAUCGAACCAUCUAGUAGCUGG